AUACAUGCAGUCGAACGAGAAGUCACUUCGGUGGCGAGUAGAGUGGCGCACGGGUGAGUAACGCGUAGGUGACAUGCCUAGUAGUGGAGGACAACCUCGUGAAAACGGGGCUAAUACUGCAUAUUUUCGCUGACAUUGAAAAAAGCGAGCAAAGAUGGCCUCUCCUUGGAAGCUAUCGCUACUAGAUUGGCCUGCGUGGCAUUAGCUUGUUGGUGGGGUAACGGCCUACCAAGGCGACGAUGUCUAACUGGUCUGAGAGGAUGAUCAGUCACACUGGAACUGAGACACGGUCCAGACUCCUACGGGAGGCAGCAGUAGGGAAUAUUGCACAAUGGAGGAAACUCUGAUGCAGCAAUGCCACGUGAGUGAGGAAUGCCUUCGGGUUGUAAAGCUCUGUCCUAAGGGAAGAACGGCAUAGGUGGUAAUAUCGCUUAUGUUUGACGGUACCUUAGAAGAAAGCACCGGCUAACUCCGUGCCAGCAGCCGCGGUAAUACGGAGGGUGCAAGCGUUGUUCGGAUUUAUUGGGCGUAAAGCGCGCGCAGGCGGAUUGGAGAGUCAGAUGUGAAAUCCCGGGGCUCAACCUCGGAACUGCGUCUGAAACUAUCAGUCUAGAAUCUUGGAGAGGGUUGGGGAAUUUCACGUGUAGGGGUAAAAUCCGUAGAGAUGUGAAGGAACACCAGUGGCGAAGGCGCCGACCUGGACAAGUAUUGACGCUGAGGCGCGAAAGCGUGGGGAG
rnacentral:rRNA from 1 species